rnacentral:rRNA from 1 species
UACAGAGGUCCCGAGCGUUGUUCGGAUUCAUUGGGCGUAAAGGGUGCGUAGGUCGCAUGGUAAGUCGGGUGUGAAAUCUCAGGGCUCAACCCUGAAACUGCACUCGAUACUGCCGUGCUCGAGCACUGGAGAGGAGACUGGAAUUUACGGUGUAGCAGUGAAAUGCGUAGAUAUCGUAAGGAAGACCGGUGGCGAAAGCUAGUCUCUGGACAGUCGCUGACACUGAGGCACGAAGGCCAGGGGAGCAAACGGG